AACGUAGGUUCCGAGCGUUAUCCGGAUUUACUGGGCGUAAAGGGCGCGUAGGCGGCCACCGCAAGUCGACUGUGAAAUCUCCGGGCUUAACCCGGAAAGGUCAGCCGAUACUGCGGGCUAGAGUGCAGAAGGGGCAACUGGAAUUCUCGGUGUAGCGGUGAAAUGCGUAGAUAUCGAGAGGAACACCUGCGGCGAAGGCGGGUUGCUGGGCUGACACUGACGCUGAGGCGCGAAAGCUAGGGGAGCGAACGGG
rnacentral:rRNA from 1 species